CUGCUUUUCUUGGGAUGCCACAAUGACUGAAAUUCGGUGUUUCUAAAUGAAAAGGCCUUUCCUCUUUUGCAAUAUUUGUCAGAAUAUCAGGCUGUGCUCCUCCAGAUUUACUGUAGUGGAAGCACAUCCUCAGGAAAGAGCAGCAUUGAAGAAACUGGUGCCAAGAUUGAUAUGUGUCAGUGUGUUGAACAAGUCCUGCACCACUCACCACCCAGACUGCUGGAGAACUGUCAGCACCUGUGGGGGACAACACCCAGCAAAGUGCUUAAUUCUUAUUUUACUGGCUUUACUUCAGCUGUUUAAUGCUCCUGACAGUGCACCACAUACCUGCUAAGGAGGGUUAUGGCACUGCAAUGCCCUUCUGGACAGUGACUGUGGUAGUACAGCAAUUCCUAAAGCUUUAAGAAGGGAACUAUUCACACCUCAUUCAGCUGCUGGAGCCUCAGCCUUUACCUGCUGCUACUCAUGUUUUCUACCAAACCUCAACUAGAAUGUCCUGUCCCAGCCUACCAGCAGAAACUCGCUGUCACAGAGCUCCCAGCCUCAGCAAAGCUGUAGGAUCAGGUCCUCAGGUAAGUAAUGGGUUAAAGAAUAAGAGCUCUGAUAAUGGAGAGAAGUUCACUGAAAAAAAAAUUGAAGUGGUUUCAGCUGAUUUUAAUCCACUGAGGGCACAGUGGUGUUCUUUUAGAUUGAAGGUGCAAGGGAGGGAAUCAAUCUUCCAAGCAGCAGAGACAAAUCAGUUGAGAUCGUUUCAGAGUGAAGCCAGUGCACGGUGACAGCCAGCAGUGUGAGAGGGCACAAGACUCCUGCACUUCCCUGAGUGCUACACAGGGUGGGGGAAUCACACGCUCCAGAACAACCUGGAUUCACUUGCCUUUAGACUCACAGCCACAGCUCCAGGCUCAGGAGAAGCCAAAGGGUGCUCCUUUCUGGCCACGCAGCAAUCCCAGCUUGCCCUGCCUUGGGAUUAACACCUCGCCCCACACUUCAUUUCUGCCCGUAUCUCUCAUGCAUUAUCCUUAACAAGCUACAUUGCUAAAAUCCCAUGGCUUUGGCGGUGCUGGCAGUUUUAGGAAAAACACAGGCUGCUCGUUCUUUUUGCUUAACACUCCUGUCAUCUUCCUCCCCACAACUCCACCCUCCUCUCUGCACGUCCUGAGCUCCUCUUUUGCACAACUUUGCUACCAAAGCAGCUCCCUGUUUCACAGCCUGUGCAAAUGCAAUACCUGUGAUUCUUCCCCCAGACCUGUGUACCUUUGUGUGACUGCCUACAUUUACAGUUGUGAGAUGGGAAAUAAACAAGCUACCAACUU